rnacentral:lncRNA from 1 species
CCUGGCCAGAGCAUGCUCCCAGUUGCAUAGCUCUCACAAGGGGCAGCAAUCCUAUUAUUUUGUCACAAAGGUUGGAACAUGUAGCUGAAAAAAAAGCCAAGAUACCAAUCUGAGUAAAUAUUUUCCAUAAGAACAGACAUCCCCCCUUCUCUGGAAAAACACACAAGCCUGCAGCAAUCAGCAAGAUGACACAAAUGGCUGACUUCACUGAGUGAGGAGGGCACCAGCUCUGACAUAGAUCAUCCCUGAUUCUCAAAGAGGUGAAGGUUAAGCCUAUACCAUUUUGUUUUGUUGGCAAAGCAAGAUUUAACAGGCCGCUUCUGCUUUCAAGAGAAGAGAAAGCAAAACAAUAUCCAGAGGAAAAGCCAGUGAUAAAGGAGAAUGUCAGGAGACUGUAACUGCACAGGACACGGUUUGUACUGAGACAUGCUCUAAGAGCAAGA